AAUAUUGGACAAUGGGCGAAAGCCUGAUCAAGCCAUGCCGCGUGUGUGAAGAAGGUGUUCGGAUUGUAAAGCACUUUAAGUUGGGAGGAAGGGCAGUAAGUUAGUACCUUGCUGUUUUGACGUUACCUGCAUAAUAAGCACCGGCUAAUUUCGUGCGAGCAGCCGCGGUAAUACGAAGGGUGCAAGAGUUAAUCGGAAUUACUGGGCGUAAAGCGCGCGUAGGUGGUUUGUUAAGUUGGAAGUGAAAACCCCGGGCUCAACCUGGGCACUGCUUUCAAAACUGGCAGACUAGAGUAUGGCAGAGGGUGGUGGAAUUUCCUGUGUAGCGGUGAAAUGCUUAGAUAUAGGAAGGAACACCAGUGGCGAAGGCGACCACCUGGGCUAAUACUAACACUGAGGUGCGAAAGCGUGGGGAGCAAACAG
rnacentral:rRNA from 1 species